rnacentral:rRNA from 1 species
GAUUAACGCUGGCGGCGUGCAUAACACAUGCAAGUCGAACGAUGAAACUCAUUAGAUUUCUUCGGAAUGAAAAUGAAUGGAUUAGUGGCGAACGGGUGAGUAACGCGUGAGUAACCUGCCUUACACAAGGGGAUAGCCUCUGGAAACGGAGAAUAAUAUCCUAUGAAACCAGACAAUCGCAUGAUAAUCUGGUCAAAAUGUUUAGUGGUGUAAGAUGGACUUGCGUCUGAUUAGCUAGUUGGUGAGAUAAAAGCUCACCAAGGCAACGAUCAGUAGCCGGCUUGAGAGAGUGUACGGCCACAUUGGGACUGAGACACGGCCCAGACUCCUACGGGAGGCAGCAGUGGGGAAUUUUGCACAAUGGGGGAAACCCUGAUGCAGCGACGCCGCGUGAUUUAGAAGGCCUUCGGGUUGUAAAAAUCUUUUGUAUAGGAAGAAAAUGACAGUACUAUACGAAUAAGGUCCGGCUAAUUACGUG